GGGUGAUCUGCUGAGUGUCUUCAGAUCAAAUAUUCUAUUUAAUUAGCCACUAAAUUUCUCAUAAAGUAUUGUCUAAACCUUCCAUAAAUGUAACACUUUCACCUUCCAUGAAUGUAAUCAAAAGAAUUUAUCUAUAAUUCAAGAAUCAGGAAGAGUUAAUGAUUUCUACAUCCAAACAAAAAUGCAACACAAAUAAGUUCUUAAUGUGCUCAUUUGGAAUAAUUUCUCAGGACCACUGCUUAGCUGUAUAUACCCUUCAAGGAUGCAUUCUCUUAUGAAUGCUGUUCAGAAAGGAUAUUCACAUUUGGACACUCAUUGGCAUCAGAGUCACUGGUGCAACACUGGUGAGUGACGUGGGAGUCCACUCCACUGGGUCAUGCUACUGACUGUUCUGAAAUCCUCGGCUCCACUGGGGUCUGAACCUAACAUUUACUUUUAAUGUGAUUACAGAUACAAGUACAUUUGAGUUUAUCAUCUUGCUUUUUUAUUUUAUUUGUCCCAAUCUGUCCUUAGUUCUCUUUCCCUCUUUGUUUGCCUUCCUUUGGGUUAAUACUUUUUAUGGUUUCAUUUUAUUGGUUUAUUAGCUGUAACACUUUAUUUUGUUAUUGUAGUAAUUACUUUAGGUUUUAUCAUAUACACCUUUAACUUAUCACAGUCUACCUUCAAAUGAUAUUGCCCCAUAUCAUAUAUAUCAUAAGAGCCUUACAAUGGUGUAAUCCAUUUCUUCCCCUCUGACCCUUAUGCUAUAGCUGUCAUGCAUUUUCCUUUUUACAUAUGUUAUAAACCCACAGUCAAUGAUCUUUCAGGGAGAAAUAAAAAUUUUAAAGUCAUGUA